rnacentral:rRNA from 1 species
UACGUAGGGUGCGAGCGUUGCCCGGAUUUAUUGGGCGUAAAGGGUGCGUAGGCGGUCGGGUAAGGCUGAUGUGAAAUCUCACAGCUUAACUGUGAAACUGCAUUGGAUACUAUCCGGCUAGAGGAAUGGAGGGGAGACUGGAAUACUUGGUGUAGCAGUGAAAUGCGUAGAUAUCAAGUGGAACACCAGUGGCGAAGGCGAGUCUCUGGACAUUUCCUGACGCUGAGGCACGAAAGCCAGGGGAGCAAACGGG